CCGCGUGGUGGACGGCGCUCGGCGUCCGGCCGCUCGCGCUGGCCGGGCACAGCGUCGGCGAGUUCGCGGCCGCCUGCGCCGCC
rnacentral:tRNA from 1 species